rnacentral:rRNA from 1 species
GGGCUCGCCCCCGUCAAGAUACCACCCUUUGCCUUUGAGUACCUUCUGUUUCCUCGGCAGGCUCGCCUGCCAAUGGGGACCACAACCAAACCUUUUUGUAUCUGUAGUAAACGUUUUACAAAAUAAAAAAAAAUAAAAACUUUCAACAACGGAUCUCUUGGUUCUGGCAUCGAUGAAGAACGCAGCGAAAUGCGAUAAGUAGUGUGAAUUGCAGAAUUCAGUGAAUCAUCGAAUCUUUGAACGCACAUUGCGCCCUUUGGUAUUCCUUAGGGCAUGCCUGUUCGAGCGUCAUCUAACCCUUCAAGCACUGCUUGGUGUUGGGCGUUUGUCCCGCCUUGGGCGCGGACUCGCCUCAAAGACAUUGGCGGCCUGUGUAUUGGCUUCGAGCGCAGCAGACUCGCGCGUCGACUCCUCUAGCACUAGGCGUCCAGCAAGCCUAUUAUCUCAAGUUUGACCUCGGAUCAGGUAGGGAUACCCGC